GUGCUUGCUUCAGCAGCACAUGCCCUAAAAUUGCAACAAUACAGAGAAGAUUAGCAUGGGAUCCCAUGGAUGGACGCACACAUUUGUAAAGUAUUUCAUAUUUUU